rnacentral:rRNA from 1 species
UGUAACUUGGGGCAAGGGGCCAAAAGCCAAUCUAGUUCGGUGAUAGCUAGUUCCUACCGAAGCGGGUCGUAGCCCGGCCUAGGCAGACGUUGCCAACGCUGUAGAGCACCGAUGUGAAAGUAAGGGAUCGAAAGAUCCUCCUUUCGUUUCGAACUCCGAAGGUGUUGGUGCGGUAGAAGCCUGGAUGCGGGUUUGUGUGGGGUAAGCCUCACAACCGAGAGGGGGACAACCCAGACUGGAGUUAAGGCCCCCAAAUAUCGACUAAGUGUCAAACAAAAGGGCGUCUUUGAGCCAAGACAGCAGGAAGAUAGGCUUAGAACCAGCCACUCUUUAAAGAGUGCGUAACAGCUCACCUGCCGAGCUUGGGGGCCCCGAAAAUGGACGGGGCUAAAGUCGAUUGCCGAUACUCUGGACCACAAGUUAUUCUUGUGUGUGGUAGGUAGGCGUAGAGGUUGGGUAGAAGUAGGGCUGUGAAGUCCUGUGGACCGAUUUCUAUUGUAGAUCCUGGCGGUAGUAGCAGCGUAGUUGGGUGAGAAUCCCGACCACCGUAUGGGCAAGGUUUUCCUGGCAACGCGUCGUCGACCAGGAGUUAGCCGAUCCUAAGUGUAAUCCCAAAGGUUUUACACGAAAAGGGAAACCGGUUAAUAUUCCGGUGCCCUAGAGAUUCCGUGCACUUUGUGCAGAUUUAGCUUCGCUUUCUUCGAGAUAGGGUGAACAAGGUUGUCGCCUUGUUUAAUUGUUCGAGAUUGGGGGAGUGUCGUAAUGACGAGAACCCAUUCGAGGCGAGAAUAGCCGGCCGCAUGGUUGGUUCACUUGACUCUGGGAGACAUUGAAAACGGAGUUAUUGAGGAAUCUUUAGGUUCGUACCCAGAACCGACACAGGUGCCCUAGUUGAGUAGACUUCGGUGUAUCGGGUAUAUAGUAGGCGAGGGAAUUCGGCAAAUUAGCCCCGUACCUUCGGUAUAAGGGGUGCCUGCUAUUUUUGCGAGAAGCAGGGAUAGCAGGUCGCAGUGACAAGGGGGUCCCGACUGUUUAAUAAAAACACAGGAAGCUGCUAGCCCGAAAGGGUGUGUAUAGCUUUUGAAUCCUGGCCAGCAACGGUACCUAAAACCUGGGUUCAACUGGGCUAAGGGCCGUUUAGCGCCGGGAGUAACUCUGACUCUCUUAAGGUAGCCAAAUGCCUUGUCGGGUAAGUUCCGACGUGCAUGAAUAGAACAACGAGGGCCCUACUGUCCCCGUCUACUACCCGGCGAACCCACGUAACGUGGACGAACAGUCCACGAACUUCUAUCGGGAAGAGAAGACCCUGUGGAGCUUUACUGCAGCUUGUUGUUGUGAUACGGCUAUGAUUGCAGAGUGUAGCUGGGAGUUGUUAUGCACAUACUUUUGGGUAUGUGAUAGACAAAAGUGUAACACCAGCCUCUCAUAGUUUUAUCGCUAACCGGGAAACCGGGACACCGGCAGGUGGGCAGUUUGGCUGGGGCGGCACCCCCUUGAAAAAAUAUCGAGGGGGCCCAAAGGUCGGCUCAGGUGGGACAGAAAUCCACCGUAGAGGGCAAGGCUAAAAGCCGGCCUGACUGGGUUCUCAAAAGCACAGAACCCAGGAGCGAAAGCUUGGCCUAGCGAUCCUCCAGGUCCCCACUGUUGGGGGCUGAAGGUGACAGAAAAGUUACCCCAGGGAUAACAGGCUUGUCGCGGGUGAGAGCUCAAAUCGACCCCGCGGAUUGGUACCUCGAUGUCGGCUCUUCCCAUCCUGGUCCUGCAGCAGGGGCCAAGGGUGGGGCUGCUCGCCCAUCAAAGGGGAACGUGAGCUGGGUUUAGACCGUCGUGAGACAGGUCGGCCUCUAUCUGAUAGAAGCGAUGGCCGUCUGAGGGGAAGCUGUCCUCAGUACGAGAGGAACAGGGCAGCGUGGCCUCUGGCGUACCGGUUGUCUGAUAAGGCAGUUGCCGGGCAGCUAAGCUAUUGAGGAUAAGAGCUGAAAGCAUCUAAGCUCGAAGCCUCUCCUGAGAAUAGACCGCCUUCCACAUUUCUACUUCUUUCGGGAAGUAGGUGUGGACGAGAGCUGGGAUAGAAGAUCCCGUUGAU